rnacentral:rRNA from 1 species
GACGAACGCUGGCGGCGUGCUUAACACAUGCAAGUCGAACGGAAAGGCCCUGCUUUUGUGGGGUGCUCGAGUGGCGAAAGGGUGAGUAACAUGUGAGUAACCUGCCCUUGACUUUGGGAUAACUUCAGGAAACUGGGGCUAAUACCGGAUAGGAGCUCCUGCUGCAUGGUGGGGGUUGGAAAGUUUCGGCGGUUGGGGAUGGACUCGCGGCUUAUCAGCUUGUUGGUGGGGUAGUGGCUUACCAAGGCUUUGACGGGUAGCCGGCCUGAGAGGGUGACCGGCCACAUUGGGACUGAGAUACGGCCCAGACUCCUACGGGAGGCAGCAGUGGGGAAUAUUGCACAAUGGGCGGAAGCCUGAUGCAGCAACGCCGCGUGCGGGAUGACGGCCUUCGGGUUGUAAACCGCUUUCGCCUGUGACGAAGCGUGAGUGACGGUAAUGGGUGAAGAAGCACCGGCUAACUACGUG